rnacentral:rRNA from 1 species
GACGAACGCUGGCGGCGUGCUUAACACAUGCAAGUCGAACGGAAAGGCCCUGCUUUUGUGGGGUGCUCGAGUGGCGAACGGGUGAGUAACACGUGAGUAACCUGCCCUUGACUUUGGGAUAACUUCAGGAAACUGGGGCUAAUACCGGAUAGGAGCUCCUGCUGCAUGGUGGGGGUUGGAAAGUUUCGGCGGUUGGGGAUGGACUCGCGGCUUAUCAGCUUGUUGGUGGGGUAGUGGCUUACCAAGGCUUUGACGGGUAGCCGGCCUGAGAGGGUGACCGGCCACAUUGGGACUGAGAUACGGCCCAGACUCCUACGGGAGGCAGCAGUGGAGAAUAUUGCACAAUGGGCGGAAGCCUGAUGCAGCAACGCCGCGUGCGGGAUGACGGCCUUCGGGUUGUAAACCGCUUUCGCCUGUGCCGAAGCGUGAGUGACGGUAAUGGGUAAAGAAGCACCGGCUAACUACGUG